UACGGAGGGUGCAAGCGUUAUCCGGAUUUACUGGGUUUAAAGGGUGCGUAGGCGGUCUUUUAAGUCAGCGGUGAAAUCUCCGGGCUCAACCCGGAAAUUGCCGUUGAUACUAUUAGUCUUGAAUUAAGUUGAGGUGGGCGGAAUAUGUCAUGUAGCGGUGAAAUGCUUAGAUAUGACAUAGAACACCGAUUGCGAAGGCAGCUCGCUAAACUUAUAUUGACGCUGAGGCACGAAAGCGUGGGGAUCAAACAGG
rnacentral:rRNA from 1 species